CCUACGGGGGGCAGCAGUGAGGAAUAUUGGUCAAUGGGCGUAAGCCUGAACCAGCCAAGUCGCGUGAGGGAUGAAGGUUCUAUGGAUCGUAAACCUCUUUUAUAAGGGAAUACAGUGUGGGACGUGUCUUAUUUUGUAUGUACCUUAUGAAUAAGGAUCGGCUAACUCCGUGCCAGCAGCAGCGGUAAUAUGGAGGAUCCGAGCGUUAUCCGGUUUUAUUGGGUUUAAAGGGUGCGUAGGCGGGCCUUUAAGUCAGCGGUGAAAGUCUGUGGCUCAACCAUAGAAUUGCCGUUGACACUGGGGGGCUUGAGUAUGUUUGAGGCAGGCGGAAUGCGUGGUGUAGCGGUGAAAUGCGUAGAUAUCACGCAGAACCCCGAUUGCGAAGGCAGCCUGCCAGGCCAUGACUGACGCUGAUGCACGAAAGCGUGGGGAUCAAACAGGAUUAGAUACCCCAGUAGUC
rnacentral:rRNA from 1 species